CAGCAGGAACAUGAUCUCAAAAUGGAAUUCACUUUGGCCGUUCCAUAAAGGAGAAGUUCACCAAUCGCUAUCGAGAUUUCACACUGUCAGGCCCCAGGAGUCGUGUUUUACCACCGACCGAGAUGAACCACCGUAAUUACAGACAAAGACAUUUUGCUUUGGGCUUGUUUAUGCUCUGGGCCUUUCCCGGCUAAAAUCAGGGCCUUACAAAGGUUGCUGUGUGGAUUCAUCUUCCGUUGGAUACUAUGUGGAGCGAGAGAGAGAGAGAGAGAGAGAGAGAAAGAGAAUGACUUUAGGCUGUACAUUAGAGGUAUGAUUGUGGUUUGUCGUAUAGGGAUGGAGGAACACAGCUGUGUACAGUCAGUGUUUCCUGAAAUAAAAGUCGAGGUCAGUCAUACGGAUGUGGUAGAAAUGAUGAAAAGAUCAUUCUACUUCAAUAUUCAGUCAGGUAUACAGUAUACUACAUGUAAAUACGGUACACUGUAUGUAUAUGUAUCUGAAAAAUAAUAAAUUAAUAAUACUGUUAUGAAUAUCGCACCUUGUUUGUCUGAUAAUUCUACUUCAAUAUUCAGCCAACA